CCCUGAAUGGUGUAGGGUCAUGUGAAAGCCACAUAUUGUGUCUAUCUGUCUACAAAUUAAACCAUUCAAUUUGGACAGAGAAUUGGAGAUAAUCUGAGUUCACAUAAUGCUCUUAAAGAUGUUAAUUCUCCCAAGUUUGGCAAUCCUUCAAUAUCAUCUGGGAAAGAGCAAGGUGAAGAACGCAAUGGGAUGGCUGGGCCAAGCCAGGAUCCCACUUGGCUAAAGUCCCUUUAUUCAGAGAAGGGCCCUCAUUUGGAAAGGACAGCUAGCAUGCUUCCUAGUUUCAGUUAUGACCGGAACGACAAACGCACUUUGGAGUCAAAUUUACAAGCAAGUGUUCAAAAGCAACCUGUAUUUGAUGAAUUCGAGAGUAUGGUGAAAAUCAAACAAGCAGAGGCUAAAUUGAAUUCGAGAGUAUGUUCCAAGAACGUGCUGAAGAUGCAAGAAGAGAGGCCGAUGGGCUGAGACGCAUUGCCAUUGCAAAGAAUGAAAACAUUGAAGAGGAGUAUAAGAGUCAAAUUGCAAAGUUGCAGUUGUCUAAGGGUGAAAAUAUGCGUAAACAAAAAUUUGAAGAACUCAAUGCCCUAGAGAGAGCACAUCGAGAAUAUUUCAAUAUGAAGAUGAGGAUGGAAGCAGAAAUUAAGGAUCUUUUGUUCAAAAUGGAAGCUACAAAACGAAACCUUGCCAUGUGAUCAGUAGGUUUUUCUAUUGAAUUGUCACUUCUCAGAUAUUUGUAUCUGCAAGUGUUGAAAUUUCUAUGCGGUAACCACCACAUUUCAGUAUUAGUUGUUGUAUCUUCUGUUCUAAGUUUCUGUUAUUAAUAUUUUUUUUUAGGUGUAUGUGCGAGCUACUAACCAGAUUACCGGAAUCUGUACAGAGACUGCAAGUUCUCUUUUAUGUUAAAAAAAGGUUCCAAUUUAGGGUAGCGAUAUAAUGGAGAUAAAUUAUAAAUGAAGCUUUUCUUUUAUUUCCA